CUGUCCACAGCAGAGUAUCUAUCCACCUGGAGGAGUAACUAGUACAAAUUUGUGUACAAGUGCUAUAUUAUAACAAUAAAUAAAACAUUUAAUGUUAGCAUAAUACUAAUAUAUUUAUAGAUUACUAUAUAUAUGUACUAAGGUCUGCCUGCUGAUACAGUUAGAUAUACAUUAUAGUAGGCCUAUUAGUAACAUUUUAACAACUGAUUGACAUUCAACAAUUCAACUGAUUUACAAACUGCUUUCUCCCUUGUGUUUUUGUUUUGUCAUCUGUCUGAGCUGUGUGCUGUGUGGGCGUGGUGCUCCUGGUUCUCUCUUUCCUCAUCAGGACACCUGUGGCUUCCUACUCACCUGAAGCAGAUUCUGCAAUCACCUCUCCUGUCUUAAGCCCCAGCUUUCCAACUAGUCUCUGGCAGAUCAUCUGUUCAUCCAAGUGAUAACCGCUUCAGUCCCGGAAGCCCAGCCUGCCUGCCUAGCCGAGUUGUUUUGGACCAGCCUCUCGCAUGUCUGCCUGCACUCUUCCCCAGCCUCACAGUGGAUUUCAGAGCACCAUUCCUACCUGUUGUUCAAUAAAACCCCUGUACCUGUUUCUUA